CUCCGGUGAACCAUGCCCUCGCGGCAUCUUGCUGAGAGAGCAUGGCGCUGUGGUCAUGCUGGCUUCCGGGUCACUAAGGGGCUUUGGAUUUGCCAGUCCCUGCUGUCCGCUUUGCCACGGCAUAUGUUGACCCAUGCAGGCUGGUAAUGCGCCCCAGCGGGUCUCCAAGAUACCUAUAGAGGCUGUCCUCCUUCCGAACCCUCCUCGUAGUGGACCGCCUGUCCUCUUUCUACUCGUUUCACAGUGCAGGGAGCCUGGGUGUCUCCCAAGACCCAGCUUUGCUCUGUGGACACAUGGAGACCCCCUCGGAGAGGUCUGAGACCACCCCCGAGCCCCACGCCUCAUCUAAAUGAGAUGGCAGAGACGGGACAGCUCUUAAUUUCCAGGGAGGAACCCGGUGACCCUGGCCUCCUUCCCAUGAGAAGAGCCAAGGAGAAUCAACAUUUGGCUUCAGAAAUGCUGCUAAACCCUGAAUAAACAAAAGUGAAUCUACAAGUUGGCUGUCAUAUUGUGAGGAUGCUCAAGCAGCUUACGAGGCUCAUGCGGCAAGGAACUGAGGCCUUCUACCGAAAGCCGUGGAGAGGAGCCAUCUAGGGAACGGAUCCUCCAGCCCCAGUCAAACCUUCGGAUGACUGCAGCCCCUGCUGACAUCCUGACUGCAACUGAAGGAGAAACCCUGAGCCAGAACCACCCAGAGUUCUGCCAUCUGCCUUUCCCAGAGUUCAGCUAAAGCCCUGAGAAGCAGUGCUUAACCUAGACAACCCACAACCAGGUGUAACGGGCUGGAACACGUGGCCGUCAGGGAAGGGGAACACUCCCAGGAAAGGUCUGACCACACCACCCUGGAUGCUCGAGCUAGAAGCAUCAAAGUUGCAACUCAAGGGUUGUACCGUGGAACGCCUGAGCUCCCCAGUGCAUGGUCCUGCAGCUCCCCAGCUCUGAGUCCCGGCUCUGGAGAUCGCCUUAUGGUGUAGCGGCGGUAGGGAGCUGUUCUGUCUUUUCAGAUCGUGGUGUCUUCGUUCUUCUCCUCCCUGUGGCUUCUCACGGACCUAAACACUGUCCAUAAGGCAUUUGUGCACGGUUCUGGCACGUACGAAGCACCCACAAAGGCCACGAUGAUGGACACAGAGAAAAGAGGCAGUUAGGGAAUAUUUCAAUCACCGUGAUGAAGAAUCCAUGCUCCAGAAAUGGCCUGGGAAGGGCUUUAACUGUCAAUUUCUAAAUCUGCAUUAGAAGACUUUGAUCUCCAUGAAAAGGGAUUCUAGCUGCUUUGGUCACCAUCACAUCCUCAAUGUCUUCAGAGUUCCAGCCUCUCCCAUCUGUCAUCCUGAAAUGCUGGUGAGAUUGACUUCAAGGAACACAGUCAACUUUUGUUUUUGGAGACUGCCGGGUGAUAUCAUCAAGUCUCAGAGCUCUAAACAUCAUCCACAUGCUCACAACUGCCAAGUCUGUAUCUGCCCCCUGGACACGGCUCCCAAACUUCAGGCUUAUACAUUCAGCUGCCUACUGUAUAUUUCUCCUUCAUAUCUAUUUAAAAAAAAGUGCAAAACUCAGUUUCUGGUCUUCCUCCCUCUCUUCCUGUAUAAGUUUUUCCUAACAUCCCUUGGAUCUCAUGAUUGGUUCCAUGCGUUACUACACAAUUUUAAAAAAGUUAGCACUAACAGAGCAAAAGACUAGGUUGCAAGGACUGUGCUAAGUUCUGGGAAAACAGAAUAAAGUAAAGAAGAAUCUCUGCCCUCAAAUGGCCCACUAUGCAGGAGGGGAGACAGUCCCUUCUUCCAAAAGUAUUUAUUCACGCAUCUCAAUGUGGUAAUAUAUGCUGUAGAAACAGAAAGGGCAGAGAGAUGUCCCCACAGGGUGAUACUGAGGAGAUGACAUUUUGAGAGCUUCAUGCCAUUUGGUGGGUAUUGUGGUUCCAAUUAGUUACUCUCAACCUAUUUGAGAGGAUUACGCAAACUCACCCCGUAGGUCCGCUUUGGCCACGUGACUUGCAUUUGUCAGAUGAAAUGCGAGCAGAAAUGUCGUAGGCAACGUUUCAGCAGAAGCCUUAAAAGAAAUCACCAGGUUCUGUUGCCCUUUUCCUUUUUUUGCAAGAAGGGUAUGUUCCAGGGAGGGGCUUCUCCUUCACCCUGGAUCUUGGAAUGAAGAAGAUCCAUGGCAAAGGGCUGCAGCCAGCCAGAAGGUCAGUGAGAAAUAAAACUUUGUUGUUGUAAGCCAACAAGAUUUUGGGUAGUUUAUUGCUGCAGCAUAAAUGACUAAAGCUGACUAAUAAAAAUAUUGGUACCAGAAGUGGAGUGCAACAGAAAACCUACAAUGUGUGACAUUGGCUUUCAAGGUUAAGUGUUACGUACGCAGCAAGGAAACUUCUUGGUGAGUCACGCUAUUCAGUGCAGAAACAUUUGGUAAAACCGUUGCUUGCGGUAUCUUGGAAGGCAGAUUAUAUACACGUAGAAGAGCUAUAUUUAUAAAAUCCUGUGUGACAAACCACCCCUAGGCUCAGUAGUAUAGAAAAGUAAGCAUUUCUUUCUUAUUCAUGUGCCUGCAAGUUGUCUGAGGUUCAGUUGAUCUAACCAGGGUUGGUUGGGCUUGGUGCCAGCUAAAUGUUGAGUCUUUCUGCUCCUCUUGUGUCCCUAGCUCCUUGGAGCCGUGGCUAACUGAGACAUGUUCCACUUGGGAUGAAAGGCUGGAGCGGGAGGAUGCAGUCCUCCCAUGGUGUGGGUAAAAGAAGCCGUGAGUGUUUGCUAAAUCAUGAUACCAUCUAGCACGGUACCUAAUGAACUCAUGGCUUUAGGUGAAUAAGGGGGAAAGAGCACAGAAACUGUAGUCAUGUGUACUGAAUUUUAUUGGAGGCCCAAUACUUAGGAGACACUUUACUUGGCAAGCCACAAUUUCUCUAAAUCUCAGUUUCCCAUUUGAAACAUAGUGAAAACCAGCUUUAGUAUUUUUUGCAAGGAAUGGAAAUUCUACUUAGUCCCAAUAAAGGCAGUAUUGGGUGAUAGGGUAGACACUCAGCAGAAACAGAUUUUGUGGCCUUAGGACAGAGAAAUAGGCAGCUCAGGGGACCCCCCGUGCCCUGUAGAUCUUCAGUCAAUGGUUCUGCCAUUGCUGUGCCCCAGCAAAUUGCCACGUGUCUGUUUCUCUUCUAUCGAACUUGAGUCAUGUGUGUGUUUGUGCAUAGACACAGAUGUGUUACGAUCUUAUACGCAUACACCCUAAACUCUUUCUAUGAUAAUAGGAAUAGAAUUUGUUUUGCUCCUUGGAGGGAGGAGGAAGCAGAGAUGAAAAGAGCUAUUCAACACCAAGUCUUUAGCAGAGUUGACUAAAAAUAAGAUGUUUGGUAUGAGAAUAUUUUUUCCUAAAAACUUGUCAAUUUGUGAUGGCAUUUCAAGUAUGGGUCGGUGUGAGGGAAAACAGAAGUAGUACUUGGCUGGAAGGGGACCAUGAAUACACAAAGCUGAGAAAAUAAUAGAUGCUAUGAUCUGCAGAGAGCCUGGGGCUUUUGGGGAGUUUGAAUCAAGUUUAUCUAAAUCUGAUUGGCACUCUCCUACACUGACAGGACCAGCUCCCUCUUCCGGGCCCUGCACUUCAGAGGGCCCCUUUCUGGCUCCCUCCCAUCAUUUCCCUCCCUUUGGAGUAAGGAGUUUGUGGAGUUGCGGAUGUGUGUAUCUGGAACCCACGCCCUUCUGGGUCCCUGGGACCCUGGACUCCCCUGUCCAAAUGGUCCCCAGCUGGCUUCUGAGCCUGCACAAGCCUCUUGCCUAGGUCCCUCUGGAGAGUGGAUCACUCCACCAGUGUGUACACUUCUGGGCCAGAGGAGUGGCCAAGGAGGUUUGUUUGCAGGGCUGUGGAUGGAAGUUGGGUGUUGGACCCUAAGAUGUCCACACUGAUAUGUGUGAACCCCUUCUAGUGCUGGAUGGAGCCAGGGGUGGGAAGAGAAAGGGCCAGGGGCUUCCGUUGGUGGUCUUGUACCCCAGGCCUGCACGUCUGAGAAGGGGCUUAACUCUGACGGACAGGGAGGCCACAGCUGACACCCCUGUGACAUAACUGGAGGGGCAUUGCAAAGCCCUGUCUGAAGGUCAGGUCAUGCUUUGGGCAAGCCUGCCCUGAGAAUUGACCCCCAACCUCCUCCCUAGCUGGCCUAGGAGUGAGGCAGCAAGAAAAAUCCAGCUACAAUUUUAAUUUUCAAAAGCUCAUGCAUCUGGAUUAUGAUCUUGUAAGAAAAAUAUUCCAUAUGCAGCCACCUGUAAAGCGCAAUAGGCAAGGCUUGGUUCUCUCUCGGGGCAAUAAUUCCUCCAUUCGGAAUGCUAGCAAUGUCCUUGCCUUGGAAAGUUUAUAGAGCUUAUAUCCUGCCUGUUCAUCUUUAAUAAAGAAAUGUUAAAUAUUUUAAAAUAAACAUUCUUUAAUGGGCCAGAAAUACAAAUCCUCCAGGUCUUUUGCUUCUUUAAACAUCCUGAGGGCUAUAAAAUCCUCUGGGUUGGACUGAGUGCCAUGUCAGGGGUGUGCCCGACUUGCUUGGCUUUUGGGGUUCUCUCUGGUUUCUGGGGCUACAGCGGGGUGAGGAGAAGACUCCAGCAUCUCUGCUCUUUUGUUUGUGUCUGUCUUCUAUCUACAUUCUUCCUGCUCUUGCCUGAGUGCACUGAAGGCUUUCCAGCUUUCUUUUUCGGUGCUUACUUUUCCUUGCCUGAAGAGACAAACUCCCCACUGUGUCCACCAUUGACACAGUGCUCUUCACACCAAAGCAGGGUCAACCUUCUGUCCCCACCAUCCCUCAUCCUUCCCUAGGAGUCCUGUCCCAGACCACAGAGAGGAAAGGGCACUGGCCUUGGAACCAGAUGGCUGCGUUGCAAAUCCAAGGCCCUUCAUUUACUAACUGGAUAAUGUUGGGCAAGUCAAUUAAAAAUACUCCUAUUAGAAAGAAGCCAGGAAUUCACAUAUUCCUUCCAAAAAUACUUACCCAUGACUAAUAUGUGUUAGAUAGCACGAGAGGCACCAGGGAAACAAAGAUGAAGCAGCCAGGUGAAAAGAGAGUGAGCAAUUACUUUGUGAUUUCAGUACUUAGGGAAAUUAGUAACACCUGGCUUGCCCCCCGCUCCGUGCACCCACCCCAGGCAAGUUGUGAGGGAUGAAUGUGGGAAUGUUCUAAUUGCGCUCUACAGACGUAAGCAAUCAACUGUUGAGAAAGAGGAGAGAGUUUAAAAUGACCUUAUUUUAUUUCAGAGUUUUACACUGAGAGCUGGUGGGCAAUAACUGAGUUGAGUAGAUCUACCUUUUCAGUGUUUCAGUUUUUGUAAUCUCACCCACAACUUCCUUUAAAAAUAUAUGCGGGAGCGCACUAAGGUUUAAGUGAAUUUCAACAAAAUUUGCUCUGAUGAUUUGAAAAUGGGAUUCCCCCCUGGGGUAUUGCACAACUGGGCUUGGGACCUCGGUCUUGGAAUAAGUGGAUGAUCUUUCACAUUGAGAGGAGAGGAAAGCCACAGGACACCUCCCGUCCAACAACAGAGAUCAUUGUACACUGGUGGGGCAAUCAGGUCAAGAGUGAAAAUCAGAAUAAUCUGAAUACAAAUCAUAACAGAGAAAAAGGAAAUUUUCCAUCCCUACAAACUCCUGGAGCCAUGGAUUAGAGUUAUAGAUACUGCUGUUCUCUCAGCAAAAAUGUAUUAAGACCAUAUGUAAAGAUAAAUAUUCUGGUUGGAGCAAGAUAGGAAAACAAAAAGCAAAGAGCAGAUCAGUGGGGUUCCUCAUGGACUGCUGUGUUUCCACCCACACUAAAGGAUACUCAGAACCGCAGGAGGGUUAGAUCCUGUUCAUCCUUUCAUUUGCGCAUUUAUUCAACAAAUAUUUAUUGAGUACCUGCUGUGGGCUGGGACUGCAGAAGGAAGCAAAAUCUGGCAUAGCCGCUGCCUUCCUGUGUGCUAGUAAAUGACACUGACAUUAGUCAAAUAAUCACACAAACUCCUCUUCAGUUGUGGUGGGGACGAUCCCUAUGAAGGCAAAAUUUACAGAACAAAGGGAGACUCUACUGAAGAGAUUUGACCUCAAAUGGGCGCCCGCCGUGGGUCCGCUGAGGAAGUGAUGCUGGACCUCUGCUUCCAUCGUCACGUCUCCUCUGUCUCUUCAGCCUUUCUCGUCCAUCUUUUAGAGCCCCUUACGAUUGAAUUGGGUUCAUCUAGAUACCCCAGGAUACGCUUCCCAUCUCAAGGUCCUUCAUUGAAUCACAUUGGCAAAGUCCCUUUUGAUAUGUAAGGGAACAUAUUCACAGGUUUUGGGGACUCGGAUGUGGAAUCUCUGGGAAGUCAUUAUUCUGCUCACAAUACCAGAGCAUCUGUGUUUAAGCCUGAGGAGGAAUUGGAGCAUAAGUGAUCGAUGAAAAGACUUUUGCAGCUUUAAGCGACUGGAGGUCGUAGCUUAACCGCACUCAGGCUCAGCCAAAGAAACUGGAUGGAAGGGAGACUCUCAGCAGGAGUGGUGCUGAGUGAGCCAGAGGCGCAGCCCAGAACUUCAUGCCUGAAUGGAAUGUUUAUGGUGUACAAGGCUGCUCCGCUCUAAAGGCAAAUAAAAUUCUUGAUAAUCCGAGGGAUUUGCGAAUUGGUUUGAGAGUACAUGGGAUCUGGCACUAUUCCUUGCCAUGUAUACAGCAGGGCUGCCUGCGACAAUCCCGCGUGUUAUUUCUCUAAAUGCAUCACCCCUGCCCUUGGAAGGAGUCUGGUUUCCUGCUCUUUUGGAGACUCCAAGUAUGCGCUGUUUAUUAGCAUCCCCCUCCACCCCCUCACACACACCUCUUCCCAGAAGAAUCUAAAUUGCUUUAAUCGUAUUGUGUGUUUCCCUAGGAGAAUUUUUCCACUUCUAGUUUUUCCAGUUUGCUUUUAUGGUAAUAUUUUUUUCUUCCCUCUUCACUUCCCUGAGGCAUAAAACAUAACCACUACCCCUCUGGUAUGGGACAUUUACUAGGAAAACUCAAGAGGCCUUUACUCCCAGACAUCAAGGGAGAGUAAAGAGAAGAGAUUCCACACCACACCUCCUGUGCCUGAUAGGCCAGGUGGACAGCUGCUGUGGGCAGCGCUUUGCAGAGGUUGACCCAAGGCCACCUUCCAUCCCACUUUCCCACCCACUGAGAGCUCAAGUCCUCUCCAGCUCCACACAGAACCCCUUCCUAAGGAGUCGGGGCCAUGGGAAGGUGGAGAGAGGUAUAGGAUUCCAUGAACAGGCUGGGGCUUCUCCCGGAAGUCUUCCCAACCCAGACAAACAGAGAUAUCACACUAAAGGACUGUGGUGAGGGGUUCAAACCAUCAUAGUCAGGAUCUUCCAGAAUUCAGGGUGGAAUCAUAGGUCUAAUUUUACCUUUCUAACAGCCACUUUCCUCUCCUCUCUCCCUUUGGAGCUUCCAGUAUUAGCAUUAACUGGCUUCUUCUUUGGGAGGAAGGAAAAACUGGGAAGUCUCAAUAUGAGCUAAAGUCCUCGGAGCAUCUGCUUCCUCACUUGUAGAGACUGAGGUUAGACUAAGGUAGAGGUUGAGCUUCUUCUGUCUGCCACCCCUUUGCAGGCCAUGGGGGAGACACCUCCCCCAAUCUCUGGACCCAGAAGAGGCAGGUAAUCACGUCCUAUCUUGAGAGAGAUGAUAUGUGAUAAUGUAUGCAAAGCACUUAUAAGAUGCCUGGCAUCCAAUAAGCUUUUACUAAAUGUCCACCAAGAGGCAGGAUGAUGAUGGUCAUGAUGGUGACGAUGACUCCUCAGUUGUUCUAACCUUCCCUUCUAGUGGGGUUCUCAAGCUUUAAAAAGGUGGGGACACUUGGAAAAACUCCAAGUCCUUUUCCCCAACUUUUCUCUACUGAUAAAUAAAAUUCUUAGCGACUGAACCUGCCCCUUAUUUAACUGGACCACACAGGACAUUUCUGUCAAGUUUAGCUUUGAUUCUUUGUUAGUCGUGUCUUUGUUGGUCUCUAUCAGUUCUCAUUUCUAAGUGACUGACUGCUGUGGGGAUGUUGCUUGUAGAUUAUGAUACUCUGAGGAGUAACUAGAGAGUCAGAGAAUUCUACAGUUUCAAAUUCUUUCGAUCCUACCACAUUCCUCCCAAAGCACCCCUUUCAAAAUAUGAACUAUUAAACAUGUUGAGCAUGUUCUGGCUUAAAUCAUCAAGUCACGCAUUUUCCUUCUCCUCAUAGGUUGGACAGCUCAGAGUGGGUUGUGAAAAUGACCUGCUAAAUGUUCUCCUGCCUGCACCCCCCUACAAAACCAAGUUGAUUAGAGACAGACCAGUGUCUCAGGUUUUCCUGAAGGCUUCUUCCUGACCCUCCUGCUCUUUCACGCCUGCAAAGGAGCCUUUUCCAUCUCCCUCACACAGUCUAAGUGCUUAUUUACAAGACUCACAGAUGGUUGGAAGAACAGGAAUGCAAGAACAUGGUUCAUUGCUCAAUGCAGCCCCUGACAACAAAUCCCCCAGCUUUCCCUCUUUGCAUCCUGUAAACUGCUCUGUAAAAAUUAAAAAGUGUGAAUUUACAGAGCCCAAGAGGAGCCAGGAGGUGAAGACCCAUCUCCAACCAAUGGGUCAGGCAUGCUGAUGAAGCAGGAAUAUGAGGUCUUGCCAAUUUCUGACCAAUAAAACAUCUUCCCUGCCUUCCCAGAUCCUUGACCUUCUCUUUCCCACGCAAAACUAAAUAGAGACACAAAUGAGGGGGAAAGGUCAACAAAAAGGCAGCAAAACAAAGCAAAAUGCCCAACAUGCGCUGGCCUUGUAGGGGAACAGUUGGGUCACAGCAGCCUCCCUCCUGUGCCUUUUAUUACUCUGCAGAUCCCUUGGCCAUCCUGCCUGAUUAAGCACCUCCUGAUUUUCCACUCCAGGGAGGCCUGGGUUGGUCGCUAGCAAAGACUUUUGCCAAAAUAGUUCCAGCUAGACAUAGAAGCCUAAUGUCCUGUGGAAAGAGGAGUGACUGAGUGAAUUCUGUAGGAUGGUAGGAGAGGCACAGGAAGAGGUUUUGAAGACAUGGCUGGGCUGGGCCUCUCUGAGUCUCACGGCCUCAUUCCCAAAAGGAGGAGAAUAGGGCUGGAACGGAUCUUGAGAUUUCUUUAUCGAUAUCCUCUAGUUCUUAAGAAGGUCUGGGACCAAGGGGAGAAGGGGAGAAGGGGAGAAGGUGUCAGGGCAAGCAUCAUGGGACAAUACGGGACUGAAGCUAUCUAGGCUCUAAGCCUUUGGCUCAACCUUCCGAGUGACCAAUGUUACCUGCAUUUUGUCGAUGUAUCUAACUCUGGCCAAGAUUGCACUGACUUAUGUUCACAUGGCUGGGAAUCCUGCCAGUCCUCUGAGUUUGAGACAGAGAGCUAGAGAAAGAGCAAGAGCAAGAACGAGUGAGAGAGAACGGGAUUGAGAAUGAACAAACCUGGGUUGGGUAAGAGAAAUAACUAUUGUGGAGCCAUCAAAUAUGGGGCAGAUAGAAUUAUGAUAAUAUUCCUUGGUUUCUCGUUUGAGGAUAAAAAGUAUCUUCUCUGUAACUUAAGGAUGCAGCAAGUUACCGACCUCAUACUUUUUCCAAAGAGGCCAUGAAUUUUAAUUACCAUCAGUAAUUUUGUGGCAAUUUGUAUGGGCUGGGGGGUGGAGAGAGUUCAGAUGAGUUACUUUUUGGGGAAUGAGUUGCUGCAGAAGCAUCUGCCAACAACCUAAAUUUGGCAAAAACAGAUAUGCCAUCCCCUACAUUAGAACCAUUGGAAUCCAGAGAAGGCUUCAGUGAAGCCAUUGGGUGGGUUCAGGCUGGAACCGGGAGCUGAAUGGUCAAGGUUCAUCCAGACCAAGAUGUACAUGUAAGACAGAGAUGGUUGCAAAUGGACUUUCCAGGGAAAGACAUCCCUCUGGGGAUGUACAGACUCCAGGUUGCUGGGACAGUGACAGAAAUACUUGAACUAGAAGAUAAUCUAGUUCCCUCUGUUGGACUAUUCUCUGAGAUCUAGAAAACAAAAGUGGUUUAUUUGAGGUCACGCAACUGGUUGGUUGAUGGGCUGGAAUUCAUACUCAAGUUCAUUCACUCAUUUGCCAAUAGAGAUCGAGUGCACCAUGUUCUGAGCUAGAUGCUGUGUGGUGCAGGCUCCUGACACCCUGCCCAAUUUUCUUCCCAACGGGUUAUGGCAAUUUGAUCCCUACUGAAUGCACAAAAUCAGCAAAACUAUACAUUUUCCUCUUUACCAAACCUUUCUUCUUUUUGUUAAGAUAGUGGGAUAGAAAAAAAGAGUCAAUGAUAGAUGCUUUCGAUUUCGAAUGAGAUUAGUGAUCAUGGGUUUGGAUGAGGUCUCUAGAAGUGUUCUAUAAAUACUACUCAAAUAGCCCAAGCUGCUUCACCCGGGCCCACUUUACCAAUAAAGCCAUCUGAGGGGCUUGGCAGACAGUGAGGUGGUGGUGGGGUCUCAGAGCCAGGGGGCCAUACUCAGAGGGCAUGUUUGAGUCUGAGCCUUGGAGAAGUGACUCAGGAAGAGUAAACCAUUGCACUAAUGCCCAGUAAGUCAAAGUUGUCCUAUAAAUAAUAUUUAUUUCCUCUGUGGUGCAGUCUUGAGUUUAGUCAUUAUGUAUUUUCUUUUUUCUUACUCAGUUUCUUUCUUGGUCAUAUAUGACUUCUCUACUCAAAAUAGGCUUUGGAAAUUCCAAUAUAUACACCUAGAGUGUGUGUGUGUGUGUGUAUGUGGUGUGUACAUGUGCAUGAGUCUGUCGAGGGGAGGGUGUCCUAGCUUUGUUAUUUAGGGCAGAUGGGGUUUGAUGAGGUCAGCUGGGUUUUUGAGAGUUCAAGUUGAGGCUCCAACUGGCAGGGAGCAGCCACAUCCUCCAAGCUCACCAGCCAAGCGCAUGCUCUUCUGAAAGUCACUGAGCUGAAGAUAAACAGGGAGCCCAUAAUAGCUUUUCACUUGAUGUCCUUUAUUACAUGUUCCACACUUUAAAUUCCUUUGCUUCACUUCUGUAUUCUUCUGGAUCUUUGAGAACAAACAUUGAAGUAGGAAAAAAAGCAAACUGCCCUCCUCCCUCCAUCCUUUCUGAGUGACUCACUUUGACUGAAACAAUUCAUCUUAAUCAGGACGGUACGACAGCAGAAAGAAGACAUCCACAGCAAAGCCCUUCGGUGCCAAAGAUACGGUGAGGCAACCAAUUCUUUCCCCAGGGCUGCCGUGGGGGCAAUGUGGAACUACUUAAUUGUUUUAAAAAUAGCAUUUUGCAAAAUUAGAGCUGCCUGUAUCUGCAGGAUGGGCAGCAGGUCAGGGGUUGUGAAAUGCCUGUGCUAACCACCAAGUGUGAGCAGGCACUUUUAAUAGUGUUGGCUGGAAGGCAAUACAGGCCACCAGGCCCAAACGAGCAACUCCACCUUUUCCGGGGGAGAUUGAGGACAAACAGUUCCCCAUGUUUGCUCUCGUGUUUUUCUCCACAGAACUCAGGACUUCCGUGCGUGUAGCCUGAACCGUUAUCCUCAUUUUCUGACAGGUGCAAUUACUCAUCUGCUCUCCUCUGCUCAUCUCCUGUUUUGUUUUUCUCUGCAUGGGUCACAGUUUCCAACAGGCAGUGGCUACACCUGGUACCUUAGAAGAUCUGUGGUCAACAGAGUGCUUCUUGCAGACGGCUUUGCAAGUCCUGGAAUGACCAGGUGGAACCGCUUCGUCACCUUAAGAAUGUAGUCACAUCUUUUAAUUUGCAAUUCACUGGUUGAGUCCUCAUUAGCAGGAAGACUACUUGAAGUCCAAGAACUCCAGGGACAGAGUCCAAAGUGCACAGUCCUGUUUCCAGAUACAGGGCUGAGAGAGAACUUGAGUGUACCGUCUGCCCGAUUAUGGAUGUGUGUUGUUUCAGCUCCUUCCACAGGUGCCUUUGUUAAAAGCCCCCCAGUACAGGCUGAUGGAUGCCUCUCCACUGUUGUGGUCACGCCUUUGUAGACCCAAGUAUGAGCACAGGGCACAGUGGUUUCAAGGCCGCACAUGGGCACCAAGGUUCCAGCCACAAUGAUCCAUGAUGUGAGACAGGCUGUAUUAAAGGUGGUGA